rfam:Picea glauca, whole genome shotgun sequence.
GUGCAUGCCUAUAGCAUAUCAUUAAUGCACCAGAUCCCAUUAUAACUCCUCAUGUAAGCGUGCUCGAGAUAGAUUAGUACUGGGAUGGUUGACUGCAAAGGAAGUCUUAGUGUUUUACAUG